CCUGAGGGGUGCUCGAGCGCUGAGUGUGUGAGGGGGAAGGAGACGACAUGGCGGCCGGUGUGUGCCCGCGCCUCACCCUGACACGGCUCUAGGGUCUCCUCACUUACCGUCUGUACACUGCAACAGACAUUUAUAUGGAAACAGUGGGGCUCAGGUCAAACGGCUCUCUCACAAGUAUCUGCCUGUGCACCGCAGCAAAAUGACUGCUCAGAGGUCUGCGACCGCCAUAGAAUGGAAACAUACAGUUAAGACAAUAAGUGCAGUGUGUCUCAGAAGUCACUGCCUCAAGACAUAAUCCAGACAAGUGCAAGUAUUCAGAAUCCACCGACAGGAUCUCCGCUGCUACACUGAUCCCAGUUUUAGUCCCCCCUGAUGAA